rnacentral:rRNA from 1 species
UAAUAGCGUAUAUUAAAGUUGUUGCAGUUAAAAAGCUCGUAGUCGGAUGUCGGGCUCGGGCAGGCUGUCGGCCUCUGGUCGGACGGCAGGCUCGGGUCUUCUUGCCUGGGGGCUCCGUCACACUUAACUGUGGGGCGGUAGGUUGCAGGCCGUUUACUUUGAAAAAAUUAGAGUGUUCAAAGCAGGCCUACGCUUGAAUACAUUAGCAUGGAAUAAUGGAAUAGGACUUUGGUGCUAUUUUGUUGGUUUAUGGGACUGAAGUAAUGAUUAAUAGGGACAGUUGGGGCCGUUUAUAUUUCGUUGUCAGAGGUGAAAUUCUUGGAUUUACGAAAGAUAAACUUCUGCGAAAGCAUUCGGCAAGGAUGUUUUCAUUGA